rnacentral:tRNA from 1 species
UCACUGGUGGCUCAAUUGGUAAAGAAUCUGCCUGCAGUGCAGGAUACCCAGGUUCAAUCCCUGGGUUGGGAA